GCUUGUCUCAAAGAUUAAGCCAUGCAUGUCUAAGAAUAAACCCUUGAACGGUGAAUCUGCGAAUGGCUCAUUAAAUCAGUUAUUGUUUAUUUGAUGGUACCUUACUACUUGGAUAACCGUAGUAAUUCUAGAGCUAAUACAUGCGCCAAGCCCUGACUUCGGAAAGGGUGCAUUUAUUAGAUUCAAACCAUCGGUCCGUCUGGGCAACCGGGCGUGGCCUUUGAUGGUGAGUCAUAAUAACUUAGCGAAUCGAAUGGCCUUGAGCCGUCGAUGCUUCAUUCAAAUUUCUGCCCUAUCAGCUUUCGAUGGUAGGAUCUUGGCCUACCAUGGCUAUAACGGGUAACGGGGAAUUAGGGUUCGAUUCCGGAGAGGGAGCUUGAGAAACGGCUACCACAUCCAAGGAAGGCA
rnacentral:rRNA from 1 species